rnacentral:rRNA from 1 species
GACGAACCACACAAACGUUAUUCGGAAUUACUGGGCUUAAAGGGUGCGUAGGCGGCGCGGAAAGUUGGGUGUGAAAUCCCUCGGCUCAACCGAGGAACUGCGCCCAAAACUACCGUGCUCGAGGGAGAUAGAGGUGAGCGGAACUUAGGGUGGAGCGGUGAAAUGCGUUGAUAUCCUAAGGAACACCCGUGGCGAAAGCGGCUCACUGGGUCUCUUCUGACGCUGAGGCACGAAAGCGAGGGUAGCGAACGGG